rnacentral:rRNA from 1 species
AUACGUAGGGGGCGAGCGUUGUCCGGAAUGAUUGGGCGUAAAGGGCGCGUAGGCGGCGCGGUAAGUCUGGAGUGAAAGUCCUGCUUUCAAGGUGGGAAUUGCUUUGGAUACUGCCGCGCUUGAGUGCAGGAGAGGUUAUCGGAAUUCCCGGUGUAGCGGUGAAAUGCGUAGAGAUCGGGAGGAACACCAGUGGCGAAGGCGGGUAACUGGACUGCAACUGACGCUGAGGCGCGAAAGUGUGGGGAGCAAACAGGAUUAGAUACCCUGGUAGUCCACACUGUAAACGAUGAAUGCUAGGUGUAAGGGGUAUCGACCCCUUUUGUGCCGGAGUCAACACAAUAAGCAUUCCGCCUGGGGAGUACGGCCGCAAGGUUGAAACUCAAAGGAAUUGACGGGG